UACAGAGGGUGCGAGCGUUGUCCGGAAUCACUGGGCGUAAAGGGCGCGUAGGUGGCGGCCCAAGUCCAUGGUGAAAGCUCGAUGCUCAACAUCGAGUCGGCCACGGAUACUGGGUUGCUCGAGCACUGUAGGGGCAGAUGGAAUUCCGGGUGUAGCGGUGGAGUGCGUAGAGAUCCGGAAGAACACCGGUGGCGAAGGCGGUCUGCUGGGCAGUUGCUGACACUGAGGCGCGACAGCGUGGGGAGCAAACAGG
rnacentral:rRNA from 1 species